rnacentral:rRNA from 1 species
AAUCAACGCUGGCGGCGUGCCUCAGACAUGCAAGUCGAACGAUUAAAGCUCUCUUCGGAGAGUGUAUAGAGUGGCGCACGGGUGAGUAACACGUAAGUAAUCUACCCUCGAGUGGGGAAUAACAACCGGAAACGGUUGCUAAUACCGCAUAAUGCAGCGGCACCGCAAGGUGACAGUUGUUAAAGAUUCAUCGCUUGAGGAGGGAGCUUGCGGCAGAUUAGCUAGUUGGUAGGGUAACGGCUUACCAAGGCUACGAUCUGUAACCGGUCUAAGAGGACAGUCGGUCACACUGACACUGAAUAACGGGUCAGACUCCUACGGGAGGCAGCAGUCGGGAAUUUUGGGCAAUGGGCGAAAGCCUGACCCAGCAACGCCGCGUGAAGGAUGAAGUAUUUCGGUAUGUAAACUUCGAAAGAAUAGGAAGAAUUAAUGACGGUACUAUUUAAUAAGGUCCGGCUAACUACGUGCCAGCAGCCGCGGUAAU